UUGUUUAUUUAUUUACUUUGUUUUGUUGUUGGUUUUCUUUUGUUUGUUUGUUUGUUUUUGGAUUUUUUUUUGGAUUUGUUAUUUUUUUCAAGACAGGGUUUCUCUGUAUAGCCCUGGCUGUCCUAGAACUCACUCUGUAGACCAGGCUGGCCUCAAACUCAGAAAUCUGCCUGCCUCUGUCUCCCAGAGUGCUGGGAUUACAGGCGGUGCGACACCACGGCCCGGCCUAAACCCUCGAGUUUAAAACCACAUCUUAAAAAGGAGGCACAUAUAUGUAUGUAUAUGUGUACUUGUAUGAAAAAACAAGUCUCAAAUAUAUAUGAGACUUGUUUUUUUCUCUGUGAAUGUUUUGCUUCCCUGUGUACCAUGCCCUUGAAGGUCAGAAGAGGUCAUUGGAACUGGAAUUGCAGGUGGUUAUAAGCCUCUGUGCAGGUGCUGAGGGCCCAGACCCUCGGUAGGAGCUCUGAGGAAUGCUCUUACCUGCUGAGCCAUCUGUCCAGCCGGGGUUGCCUUGAUUGUUAGUUGAGGAAGGAAGAGCCACCCGAGGGAGGGCUGAGCCAGUCCUAGGGCUCUUCCCUGAAUGCAACAGAAAUGAAACUACAACAACUUCAAAGAAGAUGGUGCAAUAAGAUAAAGACCGGGUGGCCUAGCAUGACCUCCAGAGCUUGGCCCUUGGGACUCACUUUCUUAGAGGAGAAAAUUCAUUCCUUCAGUUGUCCUCUGACCUCCACAUGUGUCCUAUAACAUGGGUGUACGCACACAUCUGAAUACACACACAUCCACACUACACAUGUGAAAUAAAUAAAAUGUAAUAAAGUUGG